UACGGAGGGUGCGAGCGUUGUCCGGAAUCAUUGGGCGUAAAGGGCGCGUAGGCGGCCUAUUAAGUCAGGGGUGAAAGACGGUAGCUUAACUAUCGCAGUGCCUUUGAUACUGAUGGGCUUGAAUACACUAGAGGUAGGCGGAAUGUGACAAGUAGCGGUGAAAUGCAUAGAUAUGUCACAGAACACCAAUUGCGAAGGCAGCUUACUAUGGUGCAAUUGACGCUGAGGCACGAAAGCGUGGGGAUCAAACAGG
rnacentral:rRNA from 1 species